rnacentral:rRNA from 1 species
AUAAGGAUCGGCUAACUACGUGCCAGCAGCCGCGGUCAUACGUAGGAUCCGAGCAUUAUCCGGAGUGACUGGGUGUAAAGAGUUGCGUAGGUGGCAAGAUAAGUAGAUAGUGAAAUCUGGUGGCUCAACCAUUCAGACUAUUAUCUAAACUAUCUAGCUCGAGACUGUUAUGGGUAACUGGAAUUUCUAGUGUAGGAGUGAAAUCCGUAGAUAUUAGAAGGAACACCGAUAGCGUAGGCAGGUUACUGGGACAGUUCUGACACUAAGGCACGAAAGCGUAGGGAGCAAACGGGAUUAGAUACCCCGGUAGUCUACGCCGUAAACGAUGGAUACUAGCAGUUUUGGGUAUCGACCCCCGGAGUUGCGAAGCUAACGCGUUAAGUAUCCCACCUGUGUAGUACGAUCGCAAGAUUAAAACAUAAAGGAAUUGACGGGGACCCGCACAAGCGGUGGAGCGUGAUCUUUAAUUCGAUGGUAAACGAUAAACCUUACCAAGGCUUGACAUCCGAUGUAGGCUCUCGAAAGAGAACUGUGCCUUCGGGAACAUCGAGACAGGUGAUGCAUGGCCGUCGUCAGCUCGUGUCGUGAGAUGUUUGGUUAAGUCCAUCAACGAGCGCAACCCUUGCAACCAGUUGUAUUUUUCUGGUAGGACUGCCCCGGUAACGGGGAGGAAGGAGGGGAUGAUGUCAGGUCAGUAUUUCCCUUACGCCUUGGGCUAGAAUCGCGCUACAAUGGCUGGUACAAUGCGAAGCGAAGCAGUGAUGUGAAGCAAAUCGCACCAAAGCCAGUCCCAGUUCGGAUAGAAGGCUGAAACUCGCCUUCUUGAAGUCGGAAUCGCUAGUAAUCGCAGAUCAGCAUGUUGCGGUGAAUACGUUCCCGGGUCUUGUACACACCGCCCGUCAAACCAUGAGAGUCACCAACACCCGAAGUCCGCCUCGGCGGCCUAAGGUGGGGGAGAUGAUUGGGGUUAAGUCGUAACAAGGCAUCGGUACGAGAACGUGUCGAUG